GUCGUCUUGGAACAGCGGCAAUCCCAAAUGACCCGUGACAGGRAUUGCCGGUUGGCCAAUGCCUCCUUUGCUUGGUGCAGCACUAGAGCUGUUAUACCGGUGAUAGCCAGUGAGUCCAGAAGCAUGCUGCUGAGGAGGACAAGGGAAGGCCUGUCCAGCCUCUGGUCGUUCUAAUCUCUGCUGCCGCCUGGGCAUGUUAUCCUGAAUUUGGGGAAAAUAUGGGGC
rnacentral:lncRNA from 1 species